UACGUAGGGACCAAGCGUUGUUCGGAUUUACUGGGCGUAAAGGGCGCGUAGGCGGCCUGUCAAGUCAACUGUGAAAUCUCCGGGCUUAACUCGGAACGGUCAGUUGAUACUGUCAGGCUAGAGUGCAGAAGGGGCAAUCGGAAUUCUUGGUGUAGCGGUGAAAUGCGUAGAUAUCAAGAGGAACACCUGAGGUGAAGACGGGUUGCUGGGCUGACACUGACGCUGAGGCGCGAAAGCCAGGGGAGCAAACGGG
rnacentral:rRNA from 1 species